rnacentral:rRNA from 1 species
GAGUUUGAUCCUGGCUCAGGAUGAACGCUAGCGAUAGGCCUAACACAUGCAAGUCGAGGGGCAUCACAUGAAGUAGCAAUACGGAUGGUGGCGACCGGCGCACGGGUGAGUAACACGUAUGCAACCUGCCUUCAACAAGGGGAUAACCCGUUGAAAGACGGACUAAUACCCUAUAACACAGGGGUCCCGCAUGGGAAUAUUUGUUAAAGGACAACCGGUUGAAGAUGGGCAUGCGUUCCAUUAGCUAGUUGGCGGGGUAAGGGCCCACCAAGGCAACGAUGGAUAGGGGAGCUGAGAGGUUUAUCCCCCACACUGGUACUGAGACACGGACCAGACUCCUACGGGAGGCAGCAGUGAGGAAUAUUGGUCAAUGGACGCAAGUCUGAACCAGCCACGUCGCGUGAAGGAAGACGGCCCUACGGGUUGUAAACUUCUUUUAUACGGGAAUAAAGUGCCCCACGCGUGGGGUUUUGCAUGUACCGUAUGAAUAAGGAUCGGCUAACUCCGUGCCAGCAGCCGCGGUAAUACGGAGGAUCCGAGCGUUAUCCGGAUUUAUUGGGUUUAAAGGGUGCUCAGGCGGGGGAUUAAGUCGGCGGUGAAAUUUUGCAGCUCAACUGUAAAAGUGCCUUCGAAACUGGUUUCCUUGAGUGUGGAUGAGGUAGGCGGAAUUUGUGGUGUAGCGGUGAAAUGCAUAGAUAUCACGAGGAACUCCGAUUGCGCAGGCAGCUUACUAAACCAUAACUGACGCUCAAGCACGAAGGCGUGGGGAUCAAACAGGAUUAGAUACCCUGGUAGUCCACGCGGUAAACGGUGAACACUAGGUGUGGGAGGUGUAAUACCUUCUGUGCCGAAGCUAACGCGUUAAGUGUUCCGCCUGGGAAGUACGGCCGCAAGGUUGAAACUCAAAGGAAUGACG